AUAUUUCUUUGCAGACUUGAAGAGCACGAAACUGUGAAGAUCACCCAUCAACGAUUUGAAAAAGUAAAGCAACAACUACAGCCAGAUGCUUCAUGGAAGAUAUGCUGUGUGCGUGUUCUUGGAAAUGCAGACUGCUAUGGAGAAGCACGACGAAAGCUUGCAAGGGCAGAAGCAACAUCAGAUCUUCAAACAGAUAAUGAUAUCCCAGAAAAGCGACGUAGAAGGUAGUGUGGAACAGGGACUUAUGUAACACACAACUCUAAACCUUCUGUCUUCCUAGUUGUCAUUUGAGCCGCUCUCAAUCCCUUUACCCAUUUGGUUCUCUUUGCUUUACUUUUUUUCUCAUCCUUCAGGACUUAAAGGAACAACAUAUUUGUAAGAAUGGAAAAUUACACAGGAAAAAAUGCUAAUACUUGUGAGCUUUACUAUAGAUUUUGCCACAUUCCUACUUUAAAUGAACUAGAUUACUGUUUUUUUAACCAUAUUGGUUGUCAUAGGUUCCACUGUAACGUUUUAUCUUUUGGAUCU